rnacentral:tRNA from 1 species
GCCGGUGUGGCGGAAUGGCAGACGCGGCGCACUCAAAAUGCGCUGUCCGUGAGGGCAUGUGGGUUCGAGUCCCACCACCGGUA